GCUCUCGAUAAUGCAGGGGACGGGAUUUGGAGGUUAGGGUCAAUGCCAAAUAUCCAGCACAUCUAUCGACUUCUGAUUGUCCCUCGCUAGUCGCUGCUUAAUGCGUGACUGGUCUAAAGUACCCACCUUCCACAAGCUCAAAUUCUUGUUUCUAUUUUUGUAUUUUUCUCUUUCCUAGCAUCCGACGAGAGAGGAAAGAGCUGUCUACCCUCUCUUCUGCUCCACUUCCUAUGGAUGUCCUUUCCGUGAGUCCAGUCUGCCGAAAAGGGCGUAUACAGGCACAUCGUAUCCUCCUGGCAAGCGGUGGUUGUUCUGUGAGAGAAGACAACUUUCUAUAGUUAUAGAAAGCAGAACGGAGAGGCGUACAUAUUCUGAAAUAGUCCAGCCAAUGGGACCCCAAUCCAUUUCUCCUACACCCCCGAGGGAAGAGAAAAGCUCCCUUUGUACCACUAUUUUCAAAUUUGUUCUCCGCCAGUGGCUCCUGAUCGGCUUAAAUAUUGGCUGUGCCCUCGCAUACUACUUUCCAGAGGUGGGCAAGCAUGGUGGCAUCAUUAGAUCGGAAUACACUAUCCUGUAUGGGGCGGUGGCUCUGAUUUUCCUGAUAAGCGGUCUCUCUAUCCCUAGUGACAAACUGCUCCAGCACCUGCUGAAUUUCCGCCUGCAUCUCAAGACUCAGGGUAUCUCGUUUCUGGUAAUCCCGGCCAUAAUGACCGGACUGGUGCGUUUGGUAGACACCACGGACCAUGCGGAAAAGAUUGAUAGGCACGUGUUGGCCGGGUAUAUCAUAUUGGCAUGCCUGCCGACCACCAUUGUGUCUAAUGUGGUGAUGACUCGGGCUGCGGGUGGAGAUGAAGCGGCGGCGUUGGUCGAGGUAUUUAUUGCGAAUAUCAUUGCUCCGUUCAUCGCGCCUGGCUGGGCUGUGACAUUAAUGCCCGAGUCUCGGGCAUUUGGCGUGUGGAAGGAGUCGAAUGGUGAUUUACAAGGGAUAUAUAGGAGUGUGUUUAAGCAGUUAGGGUUGAGUGCUUUCCUGCCGUUGGUGGUUGGCCAACUUAUUCGGUGGAAGUGGGCGGAGAAGACGGUCUGGGUGAUGAAGACUUUUUAUUUGGUGAAGUGGAGCAGUGUAUGCUUGAUUGUCAUUGUUUGGUCCAGCUUCUCGACUAGCUUCGCAACCGGUGCCUUCCAAUCGCUGAGCCACGAAACAGUCGCAUUCAUCACGCUGUUUAACAUAUUAUUUUACACCUGCCUCACUGGUCUCAGCCUGGUAAUCGCAUAUCCCCCUUCCGCGGUCAUUCCACAAGCAAGGCCCGCAACUGCGAAGCCCUCCGUCACAACGGUAAUUAUAUCGAAAAAAGCCAAACUCCAUUCGCUCCUGCAAGCAUUCCUCGCCCGCCUCAUCAAGCGAACCCCGCCGCUCGAAACCAUAGCCAUUUGCUUCUGUGGUCCGGCGAAGUCCGCCGGUUUUGGAAUUCCCAUGGUCUACGCCAUGUACCCCAUGGUAAAUCUGCGUCUUGUCGCUAAGUUAACCGUACCUGUUAUCUUGUAUACGUUGGAGCAGAUCGUCUGUGCUCAUUUCAUGGUAUAUUUCUUUAAAAGGUGGGGGGAAAGGAGUGUGGGGGACUGGAG
rnacentral:sRNA from 2 species